ACCUGCAUCUGUCGCUCUGUUCCCCUCAUGAGGAACCUGAAAGACACUCCUUGAACAUCUUGCCCUCUAUGUUCAUCAACAUCUUUACUGCACUCCAUCCAGCACUCUCUAAUAGCUUUAUAUCCUUCUUAUGUUUUGGCAGCCCAAACUGCAAACAGUGCUCAAAUGAGGCUACACCAGGACAGAGCAGACUGGAACAAUACCUUCCCUUGACCAAGCAGCAAUGCUAUGCCUGAUGCACCCCCCAGCCUAAACUCUGGAAGAUAUCUGGUCAGCCAAGCCAUUCUUCUGCCCCAACUACAUGCUUGCUCCUCUGCUCUUAGGACAUGGUGCUUAGAAAGUGACCAGCACUGAUGGACUCCAGCAUCUUCAAAACCAGCUUCCCAUGAGUCAACAGCACCAGUUUGUCCCAAGAAGAAUGGACACGGAGGAGGGUACAAUGCAUUAUUGCUUGCCUCACACUGGUGUCUGGACUCUGCCAAGAAGGUGACCCACUGCCUCCCCUGGCCCCAAGGAGCAUGCCUGGAGGUGACUGGUUGGAUUUCUCCAGCUUUCUCCAUCCAUAGCUAUUACAGACAUUUGGCUUAGGCCAGUCCUGUGACCAUGUAGUUGCUGUUGAUCCAAGCUGGUACGAGCUCAGGCCCAGGCAAUCCUAGCCAAGUACCAAGCCCUGCCCUGGGAGCUCAGUGCAAUCCCUGUACCCUAAAACAGAAAAUAUUUUCUUAAUAUUUCAUUGACUGCAUUAUAGCAAAACAUUAAAAUUAAAACAGAUUAUGAUUUUAUAAUGAAAAACAAGUUUCAUGAAAAAUUCCUUGUAAAUUCUACAAAAGCUUUGCUGCAUAUACGUUAUAAAAGAACUUCACAUAUAAGCACACAGAAAUAGGAAUAAUGCAUCAUAGAGCCUUCCGAAUCAAAAAUUGCACCAUCAGUCAUCAAUGUCAAACUGUUUGAAAUACAUUACAGUCCAGUUUAUGCAUUAUGCCAUGAUUCUUCAGAACCUAAGCUAUUACAUAUAAAGAAAUGAAUUAUCAUAAAACAAAAACAAAAAUUAAUUUCUGAUUACUUUAUUCUUUUGCUUUAAUCAAAUUUACGUACAGUGGAAAAUACCAAAACAAAUUAAUUUUUAAGUGGUUUGACUUUUCCUCGUAUCUUUCCAUACAUUUAUCAACCCUCAAAAUGAAAGUUUAAGGACUAUUAGGAAAGGUCAGCCACAAACAUUUUAACCUACAGUAGCUGAUAUGAUAGUGUAUGAUAUUGUCUGCAUGAUCCCUGAAUCAAUGCAGCAAACUUUAGGUUGAAAUAACUCCUUGCCAAAUCAGUAUCUUUCAUUGUUUCACAAAUCAGCCCUUUCUUCCAACAAAACAAACAAAAAGAUUUCUGUGAAAAAGUUAUUUAGCAUCCUGAACAUAAUUCUGCUAUUGCUGUCAACCAUGGAAUUCAGUUAUCCCUAUGCACAAUAAGAGCAGCAGAGAUAUCAUUAACGUAAAAAAAAAAAGUUUCACAUGAUAUGUUCCAGAAAAUAUUCUGGAAGAUUGAUUCAAGCUAAGAGAUGUUGCUGAAGAUAAAAAUAUAUCUUGUGGCUUAAAAUAACAGUAAAAUUCAUUCUUCUGAAGAGAACACAAGUAGAAUAUCUACCUAUACACUUUUCAGUGUAAAACUUUAAAAUCCAAGCAUAGAAAGACUUCUCUAAUUUUACAGUUUAGUCAAUUUAUAUAUUUGCUGACGUAUAUUCUCGCAAUUACAGAUUCUACUUUGUGUCAGCUGUAUAAAUCCCCAGGUAAUAUGAGGUUAAAAAAAAAAAGAAAAAAGAAAAAGACAACACUUUUUUACAUGGUGUCUCCUCAAACUCAAUAUGCUGUCUAAAGAAAUCAUUUGAGGGAAAAAAAGCACUCCAUUAAUAUCACCAGCUUGCUUAGAAAGAAAUCCUAGUGGCUCCGAUAUUCAAUGGAUAACAUUUUUCAAAUGCAUCCUUCUGGAAAAAUCCCUAUAUUCAUGCUAAUGGAAUUCUGUUAUUAAAUUCUGUUAUUCAAUGUACUUUAAGGCUAAAGAAAGCAGUAUAACAACUUUCUACACUGGCAGUGUAAGAGGAAAAUACGACAUACAAGUAUCCAAAGUUAAAAUUAAUUAUAUAUUUCCUGCUUAAAAAGUCAAAUUAGCAUUUUAACAGUAAUGGUAAUUUCAUUUUUUUCUACUGAACAUGAAUUUAUCAUCUUUAUCAUAAUGUACAAUGCAGUCAAAGGCAAACUUUGUUUAUUUCAAUAGUUCUUGGAGGGAAAAUGUGAUAAAAAAAUGUAUUUCUGAAAAACACUUUAGGUUCAGUGAUAAUUACUCAUACAACUGGCAGAGUGUUUCUUCAGGGGAAUUUCAUAGUUGAAACUCCAACGGAGCAAAACUCCAGACACUGCAAAUCUAUUUGGGCGUCAUAUCAUAGGAAAACACUUGUGUACAAACACCAAAGCUUCAGAAAAAUAUAUGAAUGUUCUAUCUUGUAGUCAGAAUAAAAUUAUUGACUCAUUCCCAAUUUUUAUCUUCUAUUUCUGUGAUGAAAUCAGAGGAACAGAAGUACUUAACAGUUUUAAAUACAAGGCAGGUACAUUUCAAAGCGGCGGAUGAGAAGCUGGACGUGAGCCAGCAGUGUGCGCUGGCAGCCCAGAAGGCCAACUAUGUUCUGGGCUGCAUUAAAAGAGGAGUGGCCAGCAGGGAGAGGGAGGUGGUGGUCCCCCUCUACUCAGCUCUUGUGAGGCCCCGUCUGGAGUACGGCAUGCAGGCCUGGAGCCCUCAGCACAAGAAGGAGAUGGAGCUCUUGGAAUGGGUCCAGAGGAGGGCGACCAAGAUGAUCAGAGGGCUGGAGCACAACCCAGGCCAUUCUAUAAUUCUGUGAUUCUAUGAAAGUGAUGACUGUGUGCAAGUGGGUACAUAAGGAUGUGGAAGGUGGAAUUCAAAUUUACCUAGCAGUGGUAAACAUGACUCCUUCUGAACUGGAUUAUUCAUUGAAAAGAAGGUAUUCUUUUUGCCUGUCUGAUUGUUUUUUGUUGGUGAUGUUUUCUGUUUAUUAUUUCCUGCCCCCAAGGAAAUGGAAAGAUAUUCUCUUUUGUCUUUCUUUUCAUCUGAAGUUAAUUCUGAUAUAAUAAAGUAAAAAAAAAAAAGUAAUUAACAAAUGAACACAAGAUCUUAAACCUUUCUCUCAGCUUCUUUUCAAAACAGACAACUCAAAUGUAUGGUAAAUGACAGUAUCCUGCAAACACAUCAAGUAAUAUCUGUCUGACAUAAUCUAAAACAGUUUU